rnacentral:rRNA from 1 species
AGAGGUUGAUCAUGGCUCCGGAUGGACGGUGGCGGCUUGCUUAACACAUACAAGUAAAAUGAACCUUCGAGUUAAUGGCGGACGGGUGAGUAAUGCGUGAGAAUCUCCCCUCAGGAGGGGGAUAACGGUUGGAAACGACCGCUAAUACCCCAUAUGCGCAUGAAGUGAAAUGAAUUUCGCCUGAGGAUGAGCUCGAGUUUGAUUAGCUUGUUGGUGAGGUAAAGGCUCACCAAGGCUUCGAUCAGUAGCUGGUCUGAGAGGAUGAUCAGCCCCACUGGGAGUGAGUCACGACCCGGACUCCUAUGGGAGGCAACAGUGGGGAAUUUUCCGCAAUGGGCGAAAGCCUGACGGAGCAAAGCCGCGGGAGGGAUGAAGGCCUCUGGGCUGUAAACCUCUUUUCUCAAGGAAGAAGAAAAGACGGUACUUGAGGAAUAAGCCACGGCUAAUUCCGUGCCAGCCGCCGCGGU